rnacentral:rRNA from 1 species
UACAGAGGGGGCAAGCGUUGUUCGGAAUUACUGGGCGUAAAGGGCGCGUAGGCGGCAUGACAAGUCACUUGUGAAAUCUCCGGGCUUAACUCGGAACGGCCAAGUGAUACUGUCAAGCUAGAGUGCAGAAAGGGCAAUCGGAAUUCUUGGUGUAGCGGUGAAAUGCGUAGAUAUCAAGAGGAACACCUGAGGCGAAGGCGGGUUGCUAGGCUGACACUGACGCUGAAGCGCGAAAGCCAGGGGAGCAAACGGG